CAGCAAGCAAAAAUUCCCCAAUCCUCUCGUCUCCGCGGCGAAGAUGUCGGGGCGCGGCAAGGGCGGCAAGGGCCUGGGCAAGGGCGGCGCGAAGCGUCACCGGAAGGUGCUGCGCGACAACAUCCAGGGGAUCACGAAGCCGGCGAUCCGGAGGCUGGCGCGGCGGGGCGGCGUGAAGCGCAUCUCGGGGCUCAUCUACGAGGAGACCCGCGGCGUGCUCAAGAUCUUCCUGGAGAACGUCAUCCGCGACGCCGUCACCUACACUGAGCACGCUCGCCGUAAGACCGUCACCGCCAUGGACGUCGUCUACGCGCUUAAGCGCCAGGGCCGUACCCUCUACGGCUUCGGCGGCUAGGCCUGCCGCCCCGCGCCUCGCCGUCGCUGCGGUUCUGGUGUUGCUGCAGUUCGCAAGUUGUUUGUGUGGGGGAAAUUUGCUAGAUACUGUAGAACUGCAGUGCGGUAUGCUGCACAUGGUGUGUUUGUCUGAAGAAAUGUUGUCAUUGCUGGCUUGCUCUGGACUCAAACAUGCUCCAUUUUGUGUUCACUGUGCUUUCGUUUGGACAAAGCGAUCCAUUUCACUCUUUUUUGCUGAAUUCAGUUCAGUUAAAAACUAGUCAUGAUAUGCACUACGCACAUUGCAUCUU
rnacentral:lncRNA from 1 species